UACGUAGGGCGCAAGCGUUGUCCGGAAUUAUUGGGCGUAAAGAGCUCGUAGGUGGCUUGUCGCGUCUGCUGUGAAAACCCGAGGCUCAACCUCGGGCCUGCAGUGGGUACGGGCAGACUAGAGUGCGGUAGGGGAGAUUGGAAUUCCUGGUGUAGCGGUGGAAUGCGCAGAUAUCAGGAGGAACACCGAUGGCGAAGGCAGAUCUCUGGGCCGUAACUGACGCUGAGGAGCGAAAGCAUGGGGAGCGAACAGGG
rnacentral:rRNA from 1 species